rnacentral:siRNA from 1 species
UACCGCCACAAAAAACUUAUCCAC